GACGAACGCUGGCGGCGUGCCUAAUACAUGCAAGUUGAGCGCUGAAGGUUGGUACUUGUACCAACUGGAUGAGCAGCGAACGGGUGAGUAACGCGUGGGGAAUCUGCCUUUGAGCGGGGGACAACAUUUGGAAACGAAUGCUAAUACCGCAUAAAAACUUUAAACACAAGUUUUAAGUUUGAAAGAUGCAAUUGCAUCACUCAAAGAUGAUCCCGCGUUGUAUUAGCUAGUUGGUGAGGUAAAGGCCCACCAAGGCGAUGAUACAUAGCCGACCUGAGAGGGUGCUCGGCCACAUUGGGACUGAGACACGGCCCAAACUCCUACGGGAGGCAGCAGUAGGGAAUCUUCGGCAAUGGACGAAAGUCUGACCGAGCAACGCCGCGUGAGUGAAGAAGGUUUUCGGAUCGUAAAACUCUGUUGGUAGAGAAGAACGUUGGUGAGAGUGGAAAGCUCAUCAAGUGACGGUAACUACCCAGAAAGGGACGGCUAACUACGUG
rnacentral:rRNA from 1 species